rnacentral:lncRNA from 10 species
GGGCCCGGGGGGCCCGGAGCAGUUUCCAGUGGCCAGGGGUACGCGCGGCCGGAGGGGCGCCGGGGCCGUACUCACCGCGGCCGUUCUGGUUGGGCCGGUACACGCUGCCCACGCUGAGGCGGCCCUGCUGCGCGCCGUUCCGCUCCCCACCCGGCGGGGGCGUGUCGGAGCUGCGCACCGGCAGGAGCUCCUGCCUGCCUGGAUGAAGAGGAGGUCAAGACUUUGUCCCCCACUCCGCAAGAUACCCUCUCUGUUCCGGAGCGGUGAGACAGGAUUUCACCAUGUUAGCCAGGAUGGUCUUGAUCUCCUGACCUCAUGAUCUGCCCACCUCGGCCUCCCAAAGUGCUGGGCUUACAGGCGUGAGCCACCGUGCCCGGCCAAAAAUAACUUUUAAAAACAUGAGUAUAGCAUACACACACACAAAAGUCCACAAAUCCUAGGUGUACCACUUGAUGAAUGAUCCCAACGUGAGCACACCUCUGGAUUACCACCUGGAUCAAGAAAUAGGACAUCACAGCAGCUGGCAGCUUCCAAGGAGAAGCUCUGGAAAGUUCUGCCUGUCUCAGCACCUGGCUGGAUCGGAAACGAGUUUUCUUUAACCAGAUUUUUAAUGACUGACUUAUGUGGACAAAUCAUAACUGAAUGAAUCACCUCCUUUGUUGAUUUUUUUGGGUACUUUAUUUGCUAUUAUAAAUGAUGCUGUAAUAAGCACCCUUGAAGAAAUCUUCAUAUCUGCCUCUCCUGUGUAGCAGGUCACAGUGCCUGGGUUUGGUUCUAGCCCUCAUUUGUGAACUGUGUGACUCACCAUGCCUUUUUUCUUUCUGUAAGACAGGAAUAAUGGUAAGAAUUUAAAUGGGGGUAAUAUGGAGCGCGUUUAGUUCAGAGCCUGGUGCAUACAAGCACUCAAUAAGUACUGGCGAUUAUUAGACCUUUAGAUUAAUUUAUUAGAAGUUGGAUUUCUGGUGAAAGGGUUUGAGUGUUUUUGAGGCUUUGGCACAGAAUACCCAGCUGGUCCCAGAAAGGUGGUUCCCAUUUACCUGCCCGAAGGUAAUUCACCCUUACUGAUACUGAGUACUGUUUUCUAAAAGAACAUUAAAAAUUGGAUAGGUUAAAAACAGGUGAAUACAUUUUUUUAGUUGCAUUUUUUUGGUUACCCGUGAGAGUGAACAUGUUGCCAUGUGUUUGCUGACCUCCUAAAUGGUCUAUUUGCUCCUACCUUUGUACCCCAAAAGUCUGCUCUCAAGAUGGUAGCCAGAAUGAUCCUUUUUGAGACAUAAGUCAAAAUUUCACUCUUCUCCUUAAAGCUCUGCAAUGGUUCUCAGGUUAAAAGCCAAAGUCCUGUUCAAGGCCUCCAGGGUCCUCACCACUUGGUCCCUUGCUCUUUCUGUUCUAGCCAACUUGGCCUUCUCCUGCCCCUCCGCCGCACCAUGGCAAUUUCCCCUGCUCUGUGUGGUCAACUACCUGAAUCUGUUCAAAGCUUUGCUCAAAUGUCUCCUUCCUGAUGAGACCUCCCCAGCCCCUGAGCUCCCCAUGCCUCACUCCUGAUCGCCUUACUUAACCCUUCUUUUUCUUUUUUGCCAGUAGUACUUAUCACCGUCUAAAAUACUUCAUAAUUUACUUGUUUAUUGUUUGCCCCUCUCCAAUAGAAUGUAAGCUCCUUGGGGCAGGGACCUUUGUCCUUUGUCUUGUUCACUGCUGUGUCCCAUGUGUAAACUUGUCUGGCACAGAAGAGGUGCUCGAUAAAUAUUUGUUGAGUGAAUGAAUGGUAAAUUUUCUGUUCAUAUUCUUUGACUAUUUUCUAUUGUAAUGUUCAUCUUUUUAGUAUUGGUUUAUAAGAUGUAUAUUUAGCACCUUUUCAUAUAUCACUCUUUGUCACAUAUUAUGCAACUAAUUUGUCAUUUCCAUCAAUUUUUAAAAUACUUUCUUGAUGCUUCAUUUUUAAGCUGUCAGAUUAUUAAUCUUUUCUUUAUGGUCUUGGACUUUAUUGUUGCAUAACCGCUGCCUUCACCAGGAACAUAUAAAUUUUCAAUUAAAUGUUCUUCUGAGAUUUUAUGAUUUCACUUUUUAUAUUAAACUCUUCAUUUUGUCUUCAUGUGUGGUGAGAGGUAAGAACAUAACUUUAAAGCAAAUUAACCAACUAUCCCCAAAUGAAUUAUAAAUAAAUUAAUCAUUUUCCAAU